ACGGGAGGCAGCAGUGGGGAAUAUUGGGCAAUGGACGCAAGUCUGACCCAGCAACGCCGCGUGAAGGAAGAAGGCUUUCGGGUUGUAAACUUCUUUUACAGGGGAAGAGUAGAAGACGGUACCCUGAAAACAAGCUACGGCUAACUACGUGCCAGCAGCCGCGGUAAUACGUAGGUGGCAAGCGUUAUCCGGAUUUACUGGGUGUAAAGGGCGUGCAGCCGGGUCUGCAAGUCAGAUGUGAAAUCUAGGGGCUCAACCCCUAGACUGCAUUUGAAACUGUAGAUCUUGAGUAUCGGAGAGGUAAUCGGAAUUCCUUGUGUAGCGGUGAAAUGCGUAGAUAUAAGGAAGAACACCAGUGGCGAGGGCGGCUUACUGGACGAAAACUGACGGUGAGGCGCGAAAGCGUGGGGAGCAAACAGGAUUAGAUACCCUGGUA
rnacentral:rRNA from 1 species